UGAUUGGAUCUCCAGUGUUGUCCCUUUCUCAACCUUCCCCUGACCUCUGCUGUUCAGAGUGACAUACAAAAACGACACUUUGAGGUUUCGAACGUGCAAGUUCAGGGAGUGUGUUGGCGGAUACAAGAAACGUGAUUACAUUUGUCUCCGAAUAGAGCGCCGUAACUAUACCAACUCCAUCCGCCAGCCCCGUGGGAGUCGCACUUUGGCAACAGUAGCCAUAGUGAAGAAAAAUACCAAAGAUACGGAGCAACAUGCCGGCACUCCUUUGAGAGUUAAAACGUAGCAGUAUGCGAGCUGUGGGUGGAAAUAACAUCAGGAGAAAAUGAUAUGGAACCACAUGGGGAUUCAUAUUCAGCUCCUAUAUAAAUACAGAAGCAACAAAUGUAUGCGCUAUCCCACUAAAUGCGUGGGUUGUCAACACCUUCGACCUGAGCUCUUCCCCCUGCGAAGAAAAUAGUCCAGGACGUUUGCCGGCUGUACGCGGCACUGCCACACGCAAACAAGGUGGGCAGAUGGCGCCGCUUAGAAUAAGACAUGCAUACAGCCGCUCGCACCGCUGCGACGCAGCCGCCUAAAAAAUACAAUUACUGCAGCUCCAGCAGAUACUCGGGAUCAAAUGCAGGCUUAUUAAAACGCACCGCAGAACCCCGACCCGGCCAAUCAAGCAAAUAAUUCUGGCACCACCCGGCUCGGAUUUCGGGGUAGGGCACCGGGUCGUAAAUCUAAACUCCAGCCCUGAUUGUAUUUCAGCAUUUUUACGCGCUGCCAGCAUGCCGCCGCAGUCGGCGGCUGUUAUGACACAACCAGAGAGAGCGGCAGCCUGUUCUCCACCAGAACGUCGGGUAUUCUGCUUUCACAUGACGAACCUGAUCUGUGCGGCGGGCUGGUGGAAACAAAAAUAAUUAAGGCCAAAACAGGGGCGCCGCUAAUAAUAACGAAACCGAAGCGUCCUCGUCUCGUUACGCCGUUCCGACGACGCGAUUCUGUCUUUCCAAGUAAACAGGACGUGGGGUCAUCAUUCUUCGGGCCGUUGCCAACGACACAGAGGUUUUGAAAGUGAUGGCCGCAUGUCGAAUCUGAACCGCUGGGAUUGGGAGCUUUGUGUUGUGAUUGGACUUGGCGCUCUAUACUCGAAGUUGCCAAAUAAAUGGACUACAAGGAGUGUAUACCUGGGGUGUGAUAUCAGCCACUGGUUUCAAAUCCCGCCAUGUAAAGACUCUCGUUUCCUCUAACAGUCCAAGGUCAAGAGGUGAAGACGGGUCAGUUUGUGUCCACAGUUACAGUCCGCGCCUCGUUGAUCCUAGCUAUAGGUCUGCGGUUCCUGGACAAAUCAGGGCACGACCUUCAAUCUGAAGAGCAGAGUUCACAUGCAGUUUGACACACAGUUCACUGUCACUUCUGUUUGUUUCUCAAUUUAGCUGUAAAAUCUACCUCCCAAAAAA